CUGAAUGACGUGUGUCCUGGUUGUGGUAGACCACUUCCUCCUACCAGAUUUGGUCAGAUGUCGGACCAGCUGGGAUUCGGUCUACCAUGCCUUUCACCAAACAAACCUGUCAUUGUAUGUAUGGCAUUAAAGUAUAUAAAUAUAAAUA
rnacentral:misc_RNA from 1 species